CGAGAGCGGUAGCGGCUCGUCGCUGCACACCCUUAUCCAGGUCGCUCGCGCUUUGGGGCGUGAGCAAUGGUUCGAUACCAUUGCUCCCGU
rnacentral:tRNA from 1 species